rnacentral:rRNA from 1 species
UGGGGAAUAUUGGACAAUGGGCGAAAGCCUGAUCCAGCCAUGCCGCGUGUGUGAAGAAGGUCUUCGGAUUGUAAAGCACUUUAAGUUGGGAGGAAGGGCAUUAACCUAAUACGUUAGUGUUUUGACGUUACCGACAGAAUAAGCACCGGCUAACUCUGUGCCAGCAGCCGCGGUAAUACAGAGGGUGCAAGCGUUAAUCGGAAUUACUGGGCGUAAAGCGCGCGUAGGUGGUUUGUUAAGUUGGAUGUGAAAGCCCCGGGCUCAACCUGGGAACUGCAUCCAAAACUGGCAAGCUAGAGUACGGUAGAGGGUGGUGGAAUUUCCUGUGUAGCGGUGAAAUGCGUAGAUAUAGGAAGGAACACCAGUGGCGAAGGCGACCACCUGGACUGAUACUGACACUGAGGUGCGAAAGCGUGGGGAGCAAACAG